UACGGAGGGUGCAAGCGUUAUCCGGAUUCACUGGGUUUAAAGGGUGCGUAGGCGGGCAUUUAAGUCAGUGGUGAAAUACCUGAGCUUAACUUGGGAACUGCCAUUGAUACUAUUUGUCUUGAAUGUCGUGGAGGUUAGCGGAAUAUGUCAUGUAGCGGUGAAAUGCUUAGAUAUGACAUAGAACACCUAUUGCGAAGGCAGCUACCUACGCGAAUAUUGACGCUGAGGCACGAAAGCGUGGGGAUCAAACAGG
rnacentral:rRNA from 1 species